rnacentral:rRNA from 1 species
GACGAACGCUGGCGGCGUGCUUAACACAUGCAAGUCGAACGGAAAGGCCCUGCUUUUGUGGGGUGCUCGAGUGGCGAACGGGUGAGUAACACGUGAGUAACCUGCCCUUGACUUUGGGAUAACUUCAGGAAACUGGGGCUAAUACCGGAUAGGAGCUCCUGCUGCAUGGUGGGGGUUGGAAAGUUUCGGCGGUUGGGGAUGGACUCGCGGCUUAUCAGCUUGUUGGUGGGGUAGUGGCUUACCAAGGCUUUGACGGGUAGCCGGCCUGAGAGGGUGACCGGCCACCUUGGGACUGAGCUACGGCCCAGACUCCUACGGGAGGCAGCAGUGGGGAAUAUUGCACAAUGGGCGGAAGCCUGAUGCAGCAACGCCGCGUGCGGGAUGCCGGCCUUCGGGUUGUAAACCGCUUUCGCCUGUGACGAAGCGUGAGUGACGGUAAUGGGUAAAGAAGCACCGGCUAACUACGUG